GAUGAACGCUGGCGGCGUGCCUAAUACAUGCAAGUCGAACGAACAGACGAUGAGCUUGCUCCUCUGACGUUAGCGGGUGAGUUGUGAGUAACAGGGUGAUAACCUACCUAUAAGACUGGGAUAACUGCGGGAAACCUGGGCACAUACGGUAUAAUAUCUUAAACCUCAUUAUUCAAUGGUGAAUGAUGGAUUUGCUGUCACUUAUAAAUGCAUCCUCGCCGAAUUAGCUAGUUGGUAGUGUAACGGGUUACCAAGGCAACGAUGCGUAGCCGACCUGAGAGGGGGAUCGCCCACCCUGGAACUGAGACACGGCCCAGACUCCUACGGGAGGAGGCAGUAGGGAAUCUUCGGAAAUGAGCGAAAUCCUGACGGAGCACCGCCGCGUGAUUGAUGAAGUUCUUCGGUUCGUAAAACUUUGUUAUUAGGGAAGAACAAAUGUGUAAGUAAAUAUGCACGUCGUGACGGUACCUAAUCAGAAAGCCACGGCUAACUACGUG
rnacentral:rRNA from 1 species